UGAACGAAUGACCUGCUUGCUGGGCUUCCCAUUACUGAUUCUUGAAAGAAAUGAGGACCACUGACUGAUGAGAGAAUUGUCUUACUGAGAUCGUAAUCUGGGAGGACCGACGAUGGACUGAAACCGCCUGCUGGCCUGGCUAUUACUGAUUCUUGAGGACAUGACCACCAAGCUUGGACGAGACUGGACAAUGACGAAGCUGCUCUACUGAGCAAGGAUGCCCUCAUCGGAAACUUGAGUUAAAAAAACUAGCUUGCACAAUAUGAAAUGAUAAAUCAGACUGCAUAAUGCAACGUCAUUAAUGUUAUACAUUAAGGCAACAACACUAAAAUAAAAUGAAAAGUAAUUUUGAUUUCAUUAAAUUAUUUAUGCCUCUAAAAUAAUCUUAAACCGGAUACUGCAACAGACAGUUAACAAUGGACAAUAAUGGAAACUUGCUGAAGAAUUAUUGUAAGGUUAAUAAUUUGUCACUGGCUUUUGAGCAGUGACAUGUCUGGGAGAAGGGAUGUUCCUUUGAUCUGUCCUGGGUCAUCCAAAAUUAUUGCAUCUUUAAGUUAAUAAUUUCAUACUCCUUACCUUUAAUGCAUCCAAUUGGAUCUUCUCGAUAAAUUAUAAACGAGGUCUCGCCUAGGGCUUUCUAUUAGCUUUUUGUUCAGUUGACAAUGGAGAAUUUUGCUCUAUAAAUUUAAUUUGAUAUUGAAAGUGCAUUUUUAAGAAAACCAAUUUAAGUCAUAAGUGUUUUGAAAGAUUUCAAAAAAGAUUAAUUUAUUGUUUAAAAACUGAAGAAAUGUAACAAACUUUAUUUAAAUUUAACGUUUUUAACAAGACGUCGGUUUAACUAAAACGUGACUUUCUUUCCAUUGCAUAUUUAUUAGAAAACACAAGAACGUUUAAUUUUUAGGAAAAUUUAAAGAUAAACUGUUCAGGAACUUCUAUCCAUCAAAAUGCAUUGCAACAGGUAUAAGUGACACUCAAAUUACAUUUGUGUUUGUCCUUUUGUGAUUUAUUUCAUUGCACUUUGUUUUACUUGUUGUAGUUUUUACUUCGUAUGCACAAUUGUUUUUCUUGGUGGUUUUGCAUGUCUUUUCAUUUUCUUAUUAAUAAUUAACUAACCUCACAAAAGGAUAAACGCAAUUAUAUC